rfam:Triticum aestivum genome assembly, contig: Triticum_aestivum_CS42_TGACv1_scaffold_194741_3AL
AUUAUACUCCCUCCGUUCCAAAAUAGAUGACCCAAUUUUGUACUAACUUACUUAGUAUAAAAUUGGGUCAUCUAUUUUGGAACGGAGGGAGUAUAUU